rnacentral:rRNA from 1 species
UAAUACAGAGGGUGCGAGCGUUGUCCGGAAUCACUGGGCGUAAAGGGCGCGUAGGUGGCUGGGUAAGUGUGCGGUGAAAGCCCGGGGCUCAACCCCGGGUCGGCCGUGCAGACUGCUUGGCUUGAGCAUAGUAGAGGCAGGUGGAAUUCCGGGUGUAGCGGUGGAAUGCGUAGAGAUCCGGAAGAACACCGGUGGCGAAGGCGGCCUGCUGGGCUAUUGCUGACACUGAGGCGCGACAGCGUGGGGAGCAAACAGGAUUAGAUACCCUGGUAGUCCACGCCGUAAACGAUGGGUACUAGGUGUCUGGGGGAGCGACCCCCUGGGUGCCGGCGCUAACGCAUGAAGUACCCCGCCUGGGGAGUACGGCCGCAAGGCUG